ACAAACACUUAGUGAAAUUUUUUUCACCCUUUCACCAAAUCUCAGAAGGCGUCGUAUCCCCCAACCCCUAAUCUGAUGAACCCCCUUUGUCUCUCUUCUCUGUUCUAUCUCAUCACUCUCUUUUCUGUUCUCUCGUCACUCUCCCACCUCGCCUCGUCGCUCUCACCUCUCAUCUCCGGUCUCUAGCUCACUUCUCUCUCGGUCUCGCACUCACGUCUCAGACUUAAGCUCGUCGUUGCCGUUUGUGUCGUCACCAUCACGCACUCAGUCGCCGCCUUCACUGCGCUCACUGUGCUCACCUCGGGUAGUGGUGGUCUUCGUCUUCUUGUUUCGGCCAGUAGUUCAGUUGCUCAGCUUUCUUCACCAUCGGUCCUAGGACGAGUAACCGGAGGUGCAAGGACCUGGAGUGUGGGUGUCAACUGAGAGAGGUGCAACAAAUAGUCCAAUAAGAGUAUAGCGAUGUUUCUGCAUACCGAUUAUCUCUAUCAGAGGAUACGAAAGCUCUCAAUCAGCUGCUUCCUGAUUCGAUGAAGCAAAGUCAAGCUGAUUUAUAUUUGGAAACAUAUCAAGUUCUGGACUUGGAAAUGAGUCAUUUGUGUGAAAUUCAACGAUGGCAAGCAUCAGCUUCAUCAAAGUUAGCUGCUAAUAUGCAACAUUUUUUUAGGCCUGAGCGACGCAUUAAUGGCCCUACAAUAUCUCAUUUGUGGUCUAUGCUGAAGUUACUUGAUGUUUUGGUGCAACUUGAUCAUCUUAAAAAUGCUAAGGCAAGCAUACCUAAUGACUUUUCUUAGUAUAAAAGAACUUUCACACAAGUCAGCGGUCAGUGGCAAGACACUAAUUCAAUGAGGGAAGAGUUGGAUGAUUUACAGAUUUUCUUGAGCACAAGAUGGGCUAUCUUGUUGAACCUGCAUGUUGAGAUGUUCCGCGUGAACAAUGUGGAAGACAUUCUUCAAGUACUUAUAGUCUUUGUUGUAGAGUCUCUGGAGUUGGACUGUGCACUUCUCUUUCCAGAGCGCCACAUACUCUUGCGUGUCUUGCCUAUUUUUGUUGUCCUAGUGACAUCAUCAGAGAAAGAUAGCGAGUCUUUGUACAAGAGAGUGAAAAUCAACAGACUGAUCAAUAUAUUUAAGGUAUUAUCGAUUUAGCUACGCGGCGCACAUCAUGCUUGUUUUUCCAGUUGUCUUCAAUCCCCUGCGAAUCAACUUAGAUGGCCUCAUCUUUUCAUCUUCUUCAAGGCCUUUGCUUCAAGAUAACUUGAUAUUCACGUCACUAACCUUAUCUCUUAUUUUUCUAAUAUUUUCAAAUUAAAGUUAUUAGCUUUAGUGUGUGAUGUAUGAAUAUUUAUGAUUAACUUAAUUCUAGUACUUUUGGAUCAUUAUUAUAAAUAUAUUUUGG